rnacentral:rRNA from 1 species
CUCUGUGACUCCUACGGGAGGCAGCAGUGGGGAAUAUUGCACAAUGGGCGCAAGCCUGAUGCAGCCAUGCCGCGUGUGUGAAGAAGGCCUUCGGGUUGUAAAGCACUUUCAGUUGUGAGGAAGGUGGUGUCGUUAAUAGCGGCAUCAUUUGACGUUAGCAACAGAAGAAGCACCGGCUAACUCCGUGCCAGCAGCCGCGGUAAUACGGAGGGUGCGAGCGUUAAUCGGAAUUACUGGGCGUAAAGCGCAUGCAGGUGGUUUGUUAAGUCAGAUGUGAAAGCCCCGGGGCUCAACCUCGGAACUGCAUUUGAAACUGGCAGGCUAGAGUCUUGUAGAGGGGGUAGAAUUUCAGGUGUAGCGGUGAAAUGCGUAGAGAUCUGAAGGAAUACCAGUGGCGAAGGCGGCCCCCUGGACAAAGACUGACGCUCAGAUGCGAAAGCGUGGGGAGCAAACAGGAUUAGAUACCCUGGUAG